rnacentral:tRNA from 1 species
GCGUUUGUAGCUUAACCGGAUAGAGCAUUAAACUACGAAUUUAAAGGUUGGAAGUUCGAAUCUUUCCAGACGCG